UGCGCAGGAGAGGAGUCGAGCAGAGAGAGCUGCUUUUUCAUGAAACGGGAGUAAAGUAGUGAACUUAGAGGAGAGAAACAAACAAAGUAUCGAUCAUAUACCACUACCAACGUUUGGAUCGAUAUCUGCAUCGAUCUGCCCACCCUUGUCUCCUGGAUCGUAGCUGAGAUCAGCGUGAACCACGUGGGUCUCUGCUCCCUGAUCUGUUUCCUGUGUUUGGAAAGAGUUCCAGCUUCAUCACGGAGUUUCUCUCGGUUUGUGGGCUCAUCUAAAGCUGAUCAGCAGGAGGAGAAGAGUCUGACGGAGCACCAGACGAACAUUUUCAACCAUUUGGACUCAGCUCAGCUGCUACAGUGGACAAAAAUGUCAUCAACACAAAAGCACAAAGAGGGAGAGAGAGGAACAGAGAGGGAGAGAGAGGAACAGAGCGGGAGAGGAGCAAAGAGGGAGAGAGAGGAGCAGAGAGGGAGAGAGAGGAGAAUGAGGACAGAACAGAGAUGGAACAAGAGCAGGUGAGACACACAUGUUAGUCAAAUGGUUGUUUGCCAAAACUCAUCAGAACAUGUAUCUAGUACCUGUUUCUUUUUAGCUCCAGUCAUUUUUAGACAA
ensembl:lncRNA